rnacentral:rRNA from 1 species
UACGUAGGCAGCAAGCGUUGUUCGGAAUUACUGGGCGUAAAGAGUGUGUAGGCGGUGCUCUAAGUUCGGUGUGAAAUCUCCCGGCUUAACUGGGAGGGUGCGCCGGAAACUGGAGUGCUUGAGCGCGGGAGAGGAAAGCGGAAUUCCUGGUGUAGCGGUGAAAUGCGUAGAUAUCUACAGGAACUCCGGUGGCGAAAGCGGCGUGCUGGACCUUUUCUGACGCUGAGGCGCGAAAGCUAGGGGAGCAAACGGG